GCAGCUUAGUUGGUUAGAGCAUGGUGCUGAUAAUGCCAAGGUUGCAGGUUCAAUCCCCAUUGCA